rnacentral:rRNA from 1 species
GAUGAACGCUAGCUACAGGCUUAACACAUGCAAGUCGAGGGGGAACGAUAGAGAAAGCUUGCUUUUUCUAGGCGUCGACCGGCGCACGGGUGAGUAACGCGUAUCCAACCUGCCCAUCACUUGGGGAUAACCUUGCGAAAGUAAGACUAAUACCCAAUGACGUCUCUAGAAGACAUCUGAAGGAGAUUAAGGAUUUAUCGGUGAUGGAUGGGGAUGCGUCUGAUUAGCUUGUUGGCGGGGUAACGGCCCACCAAGGCGACGAUCAGUAGGGGUUCUGAGAGGAAGGUCCCCCACAUUGGAACUGAGACACGGUCCAAACUCCUACGGGAGGCAGCAGUGAGGAAUAUUGGUCAAUGGACGAGAGUCUGAACCAGCCAAGUAGCGUGCAGGAUGACGGCCCUAUGGGUUGUAAACUGCUCUUAUAAGGGAAUAAAGUGAGCCACGUGUGGCUUUUUGCAUGUACCUUAUGAAUAAGGACCGGCUAAUUCCGUGCCAGCAGCCGCCGUAA